AUCUAACAACACUAAGGAAUUUCAAGUGUUUUUUCGAUGGCUCUGUCAAUCCUCACGAUGUUGCUGUAAGACAGGAGACACUGUCUAUUGAUAAAACUUUGAGAAAGAAUGCAGAAGCUUCCAUCUUAGGAAGACAAGUUAUUCUGAAGACAUUUAAAAUUUCUGUUUAAUUUUUGUGGAACUAAACUUUCAACAAAAUUCAAUCAAGAAGUAAUGGUUUUGCAAAGGUGCUGGGAAGUGGAAGGAUUAUGGAUAUACUUUGAAAAUAGAGACCACAGGAUCUCCAGAAAGAUUGGAUGUAGAUAUGUGAAACAUAAAGGUAUCCAGAAUGACUCCAAGGAUUUUAGCUUAAGCAACUGGAAGGAUGGAGUCACUAACCUGUGAGAGAGGAAGACUGAAGAUGGAACAGUUUUUUGGAGGGAAGAUGUUGAGUUCCAGAAUAUCUUCCUUUUGUUUCUUAAGAUUCUUUUUCUAUGGAACUUUACUCUCUGUUCCAAGAGGCUGAUCUGUGUUUAUUUUAUCAGUAGAUCAUUUGUCCUUUGACUCUUAAUUAUAUUCAGUCAGUAGGAGCUUAUAAACUGGAGGGAGGGAGGAGAAUGAGAUCAUGGAUCUGUUCUCUUGGCUUCCUCACAAUGAGUUUUUUCUCAGGUUCUCUGAGUGUUACCUGGCCAAAUGUCACCACUAUUCUCCUGGUGGCCUCAUCUAUACAAUUCUCUCCUUCCAGUUUCUAGCAAAUCCUCUUCCUCUCACUAUUUCUGAUCUAUGGAUCUUAACAGCUCUGUUCCAACUAACCCAGAGUCAUUAUACUAUCUAUCAUGGUUCCACUAUACCCUGACUACACCCCUGUAAAUAGUCACUUUGUAAAUAAACAUUUUCCAAAUUUUCUAAUUUCAUUGUGCCUUCUGGUUCUUCUGAGGACCAUGAAUGAUAGACUAUCCAAGUGG